rnacentral:sRNA from 1 species
AGACUACCGGCGGCGACGACCACGGGAGCAUGGCGGACACCGACCUGUUCAUGGAAUGUGAGGAGGAGGAGUUGGAGCCAUGGCAGAAAAUCAGUGAUGUCAUUGAGGACUCUGUAGUUGAAGAUUAUAAUUCAGUGGAUAAAACUACCACAGUUUCUGUGAGCCAGCAGCCAGUCUCGGCUCCAGUGCCCAUCGCUGCCCAUGCUUCUGUUGCUGGGCACCUCUCUACAUCCACCACCGUUAGUAGCAGCGGGGCACAGAACAGCGACAGUACAAAGAAGACUCUUGUCACACUAAUUGCCAACAACAAUGCUGGCAAUCCUUUGGUCCAGCAAGGUGGACAGCCACUCAUCCUGACCCAGAAUCCAGCCCCAGGUCUGGGCACAAUGGUUACUCAACCAGUAUUGAGGCCUGUUCAGGUCAUGCAGAAUGCCAAUCAUGUGACUAGUUCCCCUGUGGCCUCACAACCAAUAUUUAUCACUACGCAGGGAUUUCCUGUAAGGAAUGUCCGGCCUGUACAAAAUGCAAUGAAUCAGGUUGGGAUUGUGCUGAACGUACAGCAAGGCCAAACGGUUAGACCAAUUACACUAGUUCCAGCCCCAGGUACCCAGUUUGUUAAGCCGACAGUUGGAGUUCCACAAGUGUUCUCCCAGAUGACCCCUGUGAGGCCAGGCUCCACAAUGCCUGUGAGGCCCACCACCAACACCUUCACCACCGUCAUCCCGGCCACUCUUACCAUUCGAAGCACCGUCCCACAGUCCCAGUCCCAGCAGACCAAGUCCACUCCCAGCACUUCCACCACUCCCACUGCCACACAGCCAACCUCACUGGGGCAACUAGCUGUUCAGUCUCCAGGCCAGUCAAACCAGACCACGAAUCCCAAGCUAGCUCCCUCCUUCCCCUCUCCACCUGCAGUGAGCAUUGCCAGCUUUGUCACUGUGAAGCGACCUGGUGUUACAGGCGAAAAUAGCAAUGAAGUGGCCAAAUUGGUGAAUACCCUUAACACCAUCCCUUCCCUGGGCCAGAGUCCUGGGCCAGUGGUGGUGUCCAACAACAGCUCUGCUCAUGGCUCUCAAAGAACCAGCGGACCUGAGUCUUCAAUGAAAGGUACAAUAACCUGAAAGACUCUGAGCAGCCAGUCAUUCAAAAACAUUAAUAAAGUGUUUGUUGUAUCAGAGCUUUAUACUCAGAAAUAGAAAAAUAAAAUAAAAUACAGCUGCUGUAGUUUGUUCUUACAGAAACUUUAGUAAGGAGAAAGCCACUUACAAAAAGUGUAACUGAAUCAGCUCCAAGAAAUUCUGUGUGUAAUUGUGCUUUGGAGAUUAGUGAAAUUGAUUGAUUAAAGAUGGGUGAGAUAAUGAAAGAUAACUUCAUGGAAGAGAUGGAUUUCUGAGCAAGGUUUUAAAGUUGGGAUUUGGUAGAGAGAUCUUCAGGUUGAGAAUGAUGAGCAUGAGGGUUUUCAGUGGUCUAGAGCAGGGGUCGGCAAAUGUUUUCUGUAAAGGGCCUAGUAGUAAAGUUGUAGGCUUUGUGCACAAUAUAUAGCCUCUGUUGCAGCUAUUAACUGUGCUGUUGUGGUGGGGAAGCAGCCACAGAUACAUAAACGAAUGAGCAUGGCUGUGCUCCACUAAAAACUAUUUAUGGACUCUGAAAUUUAAGUUUCAUAAAAUUUUCAUGUGUCGAAAAGUUUUAUUCUUUUAUUUCAACCAUUUAAAAAUAAAAACCGCAAGGUAUAGUGGCUCACACCUCAUCCCAGCAUUAUGGGAGGCCAAGACGGGAGGAUCACUUGAGCCUAGGAGUUUGAGACCAGCCUGGGCAACAUGGUGAGAUCCCAUCUCUACAAAGAAAAAAAAAAAAAAGAUUAGCCAGGCGUGGUGGUGUAUGUCUGCAGUCCUCGCUACUCCGAAGUCUGAGGUGAGAGGAUGGCUUGGGCUUGAACCCAGAAGGUUGAGCCUGCAGUGAGCCAUGAUCAUGCCACUGCAACAGAACGACACCCUGUCUCAAAAAAAGUAAAAACCUUUAAAACAUGGUGUUGGGAAAACUAGAUACCCAUGUCCAAAAGAAGUUGGAUCUUACCUUACAAUAAAUACAAAAAUUAACUCAAAAUGGAUCAAAGACCUAAAUGAACUAAAACUAUAAGACUCUUAGAAAAAUUAUAGGACAAAAAGCUUCAUGAUACUGGAUUUGACAGUGAUUACUAUUUCUUGGAUAUGACACCAAAAGCAUACGCAAGAAAAGAAAAAAUGGGUAAAUUAAAUUAUAUCAAAAUUUAAAACUUUUGUGCAGGACGUUAUCAACAGUGAAAAGGGAAGCCACAGAAUGGGAGAAAAUAUUUGCAAAUUAUGUAUCUAAUAAGGGGUUAAUAUCCAGAAUAUAUAAGGAAUUUGUACAGUUCAACAACAAAAAAACUCCCAAACAACCUUUUUAAAAAAUAGACAAAGGACUGGCUGGGCGUGGUGGUUCACGCCUGUAAUCCUAGCACUUUGAGAGGCCGAGGCAGGUGGAUCACGAGGUCAGGAGUCCAAGACCAGCCUGACCAAUAAUGGUGAAACCCCGUCUAUACUAAAAAUACAAAAAUUAGCCAGGCGUGGUGGUGUGUGCCUGUAUUCCCUGCUGCUCGGGAGGCUGAGACACAAGAAUUGCUUGAACCUGGAAGGCAGAGGUUGUGGUGAGCCGAGAUCGUGCCACUACACUCCAGGCUGGGCAACAGAGAAAGACCCCAUCUCAAAAAAAAAAAAAAAA